rnacentral:rRNA from 2 species
AAAUUGAAGAGUUUGAUCAUGGCUCAGAUUGAACGCUGGCGGCAGGCCUAACACAUGCAAGUCGAACGGUAACAGGAAGCAGCUUGCUGCUUCGCUGACGAGUGGCGGACGGGUGAGUAAUGUCUGGGAAACUGCCUGAUGGAGGGGGAUAACUACUGGAAACGGUGGCUAAUACCGCAUAACGUCGCAAGACCAAAGAGGGGGACCUUCGGGCCUCUUGCCAUCAGAUGUGCCCAGAUGGGAUUAGCUAGUUGGUGAGGUAACGGCUCACCAAGGCGACGAUCCCUAGCUGGUCUGAGAGGAUGACCAGCCACACUGGAACUGAGACACGGUCCAGACUCCUACGGGAGGCAGCAGUGGGGAAUAUUGCACAAUGGGCGCAAGCCUGAUGCAGCCAUGCCGCGUGUAUGAAGAAGGCCUUCGGGUUGUAAAGUACUUUCAGCGGGGAGGAAGGUGUUGUGGUUAAUAACCGCAGCAAUUGACGUUACCCGCAGAAGAAGCACCGGCUAACUCCGUGCCAGCAGCCGCGGUAAUACGGAGGGUGCAAGCGUUAAUCGGAAUUACUGGGCGUAAAGCGCACGCAGGCGGUCUGUCAAGUCGGAUGUGAAAUCCCCGGGCUCAACCUGGGAACUGCAUUCGAAACUGGCAGGCUUGAGUCUUGUAGAGGGGGGUAGAAUUCCAGGUGUAGCGGUGAAAUGCGUAGAGAUCUGGAGGAAUACCGGUGGCGAAGGCGGCCCCCUGGACAAAGACUGACGCUCAGGUGCGAAAGCGUGGGGAGCAAACAGGAUUAGAUACCCUGGUAGUCCACGCCGUAAACGAUGUCUACUUGGAGGUUGUGCCCUUGAGGCGUGGCUUCCGGAGCUAACGCGUUAAGUAGACCGCCUGGGGAGUACGGCCGCAAGGUUAAAACUCAAAUGAAUUGACGGGGGCCCGCACAAGCGGUGGAGCAUGUGGUUUAAUUCGAUGCAACGCGAAGAACCUUACCUGGUCUUGACAUCCACAGAAGAAUCCAGAGAUGGAUUGGUGCCUUCGGGAACUGUGAGACAGGUGCUGCAUGGCUGUCGUCAGCUCGUGUUGUGAAAUGUUGGGUUAAGUCCCGCAACGAGCGCAACCCUUAUCCUUUGUUGCCAGCGAUUAGGUCGGGAACUCAAAGGAGACUGCCAGUGAUAAACUGGAGGAAGGUGGGGAUGACGUCAAGUCAUCAUGGCCCUUACGACCAGGGCUACACACGUGCUACAAUGGCGCAUACAAAGAGAAGCGACCUCGCGAGAGCAAGCGGACCUCAUAAAGUGCGUCGUAGUCCGGAUUGGAGUCUGCAACUCGACUCCAUGAAGUCGGAAUCGCUAGUAAUCGUGGAUCAGAAUGCCACGGUGAAUACGUUCCCAGGCCUUGUACACACCGCCCGUCACACCAUGGGAGUGGGUUGCAAAAGAAGUAGGUAGCUUAACCUUCGGGAGGGCGCUUACCACUUUGUGAUUCAUGACUGGGGUGAAGUCGUAACAAGGUAACCGUAGGGGAACCUGCGGUUGGAUCACCUCCUUACCUUAAAGAAGC